rnacentral:rRNA from 1 species
CCUACGGGCGGCAGCAGUGGGGAAUAUUGGACAAUGGGGGGAACCCUGAUCCAGCCAUGCCGCGUGUGUGAAGAAGGCCCUCGGGUUGUAAAGCACUUUCAGUGAGGAAGAACGCCUGGUGGUUAAUACCCAUCAGGAAAGACAUCACUCACAGAAGAAGCACCGGCUAACUCCGUGCCAGCAGCCGCGGUAAUACGGAGGGUGCGAGCGUUAAUCGGAAUUACUGGGCGUAAAGCGCGCGUAGGUGGCUUGAUAAGCCGGUUGUGAAAGCCCCGGGCUCAACCUGGGAACGGCAUCCGGAACUGUCAAGCUAGAGUGCAGGAGAGGAAGGUAGAAUUCCCGGUGGAGCGGUGAAAUGCGUAGAGAUCGGGAGGAAUACCAGUGGCGAAGGCGGCCUUCUGGACUGACACUGACACUGAGGUGCGAAAGCGUGGGUAGCAAACAGGAUUAGAUACCCCUUGUAGUC